rnacentral:rRNA from 1 species
CAGUAGCCGCGGUAAUACGUAGGUGGCAAGCGUUGUCCGGAAUUAUUGGGCGUAAAGGGCUCGCAGGCGGUUUCUUAAGUCUGAUGUGAAAGCCCCCGGCUCAACCGGGGAGGGUCAUUGGAAACUGGGAAACUUGAGUGCAGAAGAGGAGAGUGGAAUUCCACGUGUAGCGGUGAAAUGCGUAGAGAUGUGGAGGAACACCAGUGGCGAAGGCGACUCUCUGGUCUGUAACUGACGCUGAGGGGCGAAAGCGUGGGGAGCGAACAGGAUUAGAGACCCCUGUAGUCCCUGUCUCUUAUAC